CCGACCGGAGCGGAGCGCGAGCUCGGAGCCACAGAGCACAUCAGCGGCCAUUGCGGUCACGUGAUCAGUGGUGGAACCCCCGUAAAGCCCCGCCCACUAAACCACAGGCUCUGCCCACGGAGUCAAUUCAGUUCAGUGUGUUUUUGAGUUAGUGAGUGAGCUCAGCAUUGUAGCUCAUGGACACACACACACACAGGGAAAAACCCCACAGUGUGUGUGGAUGAUCGUAGUGAUUGUGACAGUGUGUGUAACUACUGUGUCCGGUCCAGUUCUGAUGAAGAGGCUUGAGACGCAGUUGGUUGGUGAAAUUUGUCUCUACUCCAGUGUUCAGCCCUGCUGCUGUAUGAUCAGAUUGGGUUUUAUCUUUUAUUAAGCUAUCAGCAUAAAUGUUUGAAAAUGAAUUUAAAUAAAUGAUGAUGUGAUGAAUUA